rnacentral:lncRNA from 1 species
AUAACCUCACAAGGCUGGGUGCUUAUCAACCCAACAUUGAAGUGAUGACUUUUGAACCAUACUAAGUAAGCCCACAGCCUGGAUCGAGCGAUUAGCAUAAUUUGAAAGGUGCAUUACAUUUGCAUGAACGCACACAGACGGUUCUUGCAUACGAGCAAAGUCCACAUUACAGCCCUGAACUCGUCAAUGUGUCUAACUACCGAAUUCCCACAGUUUAUUUGGGUGGCAGCAGGAAAAGAAUGGAGACGGCCAUCCAGCAUCCUUCCUCUCCUGUUCAGAGUUCAGAGGAAGGACGCACCUCAACUAACCUAGCUCAGUAUCAUCCGCAUAGCCCAGGGAGCUGUCUGCAGGCGAGAUCAAUCUCUUCCUCCGUCAUUUCUAUCGUGUCAUCACUGUCGUAAUGAUCAUCACUCGAUUUUGUCUUCCUGCGGUGCUCUGUUACCGGCGAGCUGCUUUGACGCUUCUUCCCCUUCUUGUUGUCGCUGUCCAUGCGCACGAACUCGGCCUGAUAAAUCUUCUUACAUUUGAUUGCUAAUUGCGAGAGUUGUUCUUUAGGCAAUGAUGCAUCUUUUCCGCUUCCAUCCAGUUUCAGCAGUUCGUUGACAACAUGGGGGACGAAGCUCCACUGCUCCGCCACUCCUUUGAUGUCCUGAAAACAGGUUUAUCAUGGUCACUCCUUCGGUAAGAAAAAUAACAAACUAAUAUGGAGAAGAUAUUUCUCUGCUGGAUUUGACUAUUCACUCAAGCUAUUCAGGAUCUUAAUGGAAGUAUAAUCACAGUGACAAUUAACCCAGAUCAUGAGUGGCCACCUAGAGCAUAGGCAAGUAUUUCUAUUUUGAUCUUUCAAGAUAAGUACUUAAGACCAGUGCCUCACUCUACAUGCAUUCCAAUAUAAAUCAGUCAUACAUAGCACAAUAUUUGAUGAUCAGUAGUAGAUAAUCAAUGCAAAUGCAUGCACUUCAUAGAUGAAAAAGGAGAUAUUGCAGUGCUUACAUUGCCUUGCUCGAGGGAUUCUAUGGCAUCUUGCAGACAAGUAAUAACCCCUUCAGCAGCUAUUGCCUUCAGUUCACUUGGCUCUGGCUAUCAGGAAGAAGCAAGAGAUAGACAAGUCAGUCAGCAAAACAAGCUUUAGAUUUAUCUGUUAAAAGAAACCUUGGGCAAGCAGACAAAGAUGUACAACAUAAAUAGAUGCAGUUUUUUCACUAGGCACACCCAC